rnacentral:lncRNA from 1 species
GGCUCUAGGAUCCCUUGGAAGCAAGUAGACAAUUUCUAUGGCCUUAGGGGUCUUUAUAUAGGGUAGAGAUUAGGGUUUCAGUCCUUAUCCUUAUCUAGUUGCUUGCCCACCAAGCAAUCAUAAGAUAAUCCUUGAUAACCAUUAUCCUUGGAUGAUUUCAAGGAUUCCUUAUCCCUUGAAUUCGUCCAACCUAUAUCUAGGGUAACCAUUGCCGUAUUUUGCAACUAUCACAUAAUUACAAUUCAGCCCCUCUAGUUUAAUUAAUCACACUUGAUCACAAAAUGAAUUCCUAAUUAAUUAUUGACCAAUAUUAAUUCAACAAACUAUUAUUCUUAUACUAUAUUAAUAAAUCAUAAUAACCUCUUUCUCUAUUUAUUUCUCCAGUCAAGUUGCUUUGGUGAAGGCAACUGAAAAGGACCAUGCACAACGGGUUCAAGUACUUACCAAAUAUGGUUAGGGGCUUAGACACUAAUCCAACAGUCUCCCACUUGGAUAAAUCUAGUAACCACAAAUGCAGGUACAACUUGAUUAGCGAUCGUAGCUCUCAAAGACACUGUCAAACUCUGAUCUUAUCAAUAACAUGUCCUUUAGAUAAGGGAUCAUAUAGUCCUCUGUUUUGAUAUCGUGCAGACAAUCUCAUGAAACAUUGUCAUACUUAUUGUCUAGAAAUUAGUUUAUCGAUCUCAGAUUCAUUCGACAUAGAACUUAAUUCAACACAUCAAUUUAGUCUUGACCGGGCUCGGCACAUAAGUCAAAUCAAAUCAUCGAGGGGACCUGAUAUCGCUUUUACCCUCUUAGGAUAAAAGGUAACAGAUAAACUUCGACUUAUAUGCAUUUACUAUUCACUAAUCAAUCAUUCACAACAAUGUGUUUUAUGACAUCAAUUUACUGAUGUGGUUUCGCAUUAUCAAUGCAUAAUUAAUUAGUAAAAAAUAAACCAUAUAUCUUGGUUUUAAGACCAUAUGAUAUUAUCGUCUUGCGGUCACUUGUGGUACAUUCCAUAAGGUGAUUCCAGCAAGCGCGGGUUUAUUCCAAUGCUCAAAACCUUUUCAGAAGCACUCAUGAAUGUUGUAAGAAACUUUUGUAAUGUUUAAUACCUUUCAGAGUAUCUACACACCGAUUCAUGACAGUCUUCAUUCAUAACUACUUCCAACAUAUGAACGACUGUGGACCGUUUGGAUAAUUCUAUUAUUCUUAAAAAACUUAAUUAUUUUGGAAGUCAAAACAUGCAAAGUGAAACAAUAGUUAAAGAAUUAACAUAAGAUAGAAACCUUUUAAAUAAUACUCCUUUAUUUAAUCAUCAAAUGUCAAUUACAUUUAUCUAUUACAAGUUUCCAAAAUAUCUAAUCCAAACUAAUAUCGUCCUUCAGCCCAAUGCUCCUAGCGUGCUGCAAGUGCCUAACCCUACUCAGUCUCUUCGUAAGCGGAUCUGCUAGGUUAUCCUCUGACGAUAUCCUCUUAACUACGAGGUGUCCUUCUUCUACUCCAUGUCUAACAAAGUGAUGUUUUUUGUCGAUAUGUCGAGAUCUACCAUGAUCCCUCGGUUCCUUGGUCAAGGCAACCGCUCCUUCAUUAUCACAGAAAAUUUGCAUAGGCUCCUUUAUGGCAAAUACAACUCCAAGGUCUCCGAUGAAGUUCUUCAACCAUAUCGCCUCCUUUGAUGCUUCGCUUAUCGCAAUGUACUCUGAUUCGCAUGUUGAAUCAGCUACGGUUUCCUACUUGGAACUUUUCCAAGUCACUGCUCCUCCAUUAAGGAUAAAGACCCAGCCCAACUACGAACGGUAGGUGUCCCUGUCGGUCUGGAAGCUGGCAUCACUAUACCUUGGCACCUUCAAGUCAUCACUCCCUUCGAGAACCAAAAACCAUUCCUUGGUCCUCCGAAGGUACUUAAGGAUAUUCUUGACUGCGGUCCAAUGCACUUUGCCAGGGUUCCCUUGAUAUCUGCUGACCAUACUCAAAGCAAAGGCCACAUCAGGGCGAGUACAGGUCAUAGCAUACAUGAUUGAGCCAACUACGAAAGCGUAAGGUACUCGACUCAUCUCUGCUAUCUCGGCUUUGGUACUCGGACUUUGAGUUUUACUCAACAUGGCAUUACUUUGUAUCGGUAAUUCUCCCUUCUUUGAGUUUUCCAUACUAAAACGUUUUAGUACCUUAUCCAAGUAAGUAUUCUGACUAAGUCCUAUUAGUCUCUUACUUCGUUCUCUCACUAUCCUUAUUCCCAAAAUAUAGGAAGCCUCUUCGAGGUCCUUCAUAGCGAAGCACUUCCCGAGCCAGGACUUAACCUCCUACAGAGUCAGGAUGUCGUUUCCUAUGAGUAGUAUGUCAUCAACAUACAAAACGAGGAAGCUAACUAUACUCCCACUGGCCUUGACAUAUACACAUGAUUAAUCUUGACUUCGUACAAAUCAAAACUCUUUGACUUUCUCAUCAAAGCAAAGAUUCCAUCUGCGAGAUGCUUUCUUAAGUCCAUAAAUGGACUUCUCAAGCUUGCACACUCUAUUGGGAUGCUUCGUAUCAACAAAAUCUUCUGGCAGAGCCAUGUAAACAUCCUCAGCCAACUUCCCAUUAAGGAAAGUGGUCUUGACAUCCAUCUGCCAUAUCUCAUAAUCAUGAAAUGCAGCAAUGGCUAGCAUCACCCUAAUAGACUUUAUUUUAGCAACUGGCGAGAAGGUAUCAUCAUAGUCAACUCCGGGAGUUUGAGUAAAGCCCUUCGCAACCAAUCGCGCCUUAUACGUGUGCACAUUCCCAUCCACGUCGGUCUUUUUCUUGAAGAUUCAUUUGCACCCAACCAUCUUACGUCCGGGCAUAUUGUCAACCAAAUUCCAAACAUGGUUGUUAUACAUGGACUGAAUCUCAUUGUCCAUCGCCUCUUUCCAUUUUGCAGACUCUGGGCCUGCCAUCGCUUCCUUAUAGCUAUUAGGUUCAUCUAGAUUUAUUAGAGUACCAUCACUAAUAUACGUGUCCCCUUUGGUAGUAAUAUGAAAACCAUAAAACUAGGGUUGAACUGUAACUCUUUCGGAACGUCUACGAGGUAAGGACUCAUCAAUUGGUUCAACUGGAGUUUCCUCCUCGGGUUGAGCGCCAGCAAUAGAGGUUCCUUCAUCACUCGACUCUUGAAUCUCUUCAAUAUCGAUUUGCCUCACAUUAUCUCCUUGGCUUAUGAGUUCUCGCUCUCAGAAAAACCCUCUCCUCGCAACGAAGACAACAUUAUCACUCGAUCUAUAGAAGAGAUAUCCAAAGGAUUUCUGUAGGUAGCCGAUGAAAAUACAUCGCUCCCUACAAGGUUCGAGCUUGUCGUGAGAAUCUCGUCUUACGAAAACCUCACAACCCCAAACCUUGUUGUGUUCCAACGAGGGAGCUUUCCCUGUCCACAUCUCGUGAGGUGUUUUGGCAACCUUCUUUGUAGGGACUCGGUUAAGGAUAUGGGCGGCAGUCUCUAAGGCAUACCCCCAAAAUGAGAUAGGUAGUGAAGCAUGACUCAUCAUGGAACAAACCAUGUCUAACAUGGUUCGAUUACGCCUUUCUGCCACACCAUUCAACUGCGGUAUCCUAGGUGGCAUCAAUUGCGAAACUAUUUAGCAUUCCUUGAGAUAGUAGUGGAAUUCAAGACUUAGGUACUCUCCUCCUCGAUCAGAUCGAAGCAUGUUGAUUUUCCUGCCAAAUUGAUUCUCCACUUCAUGUUUGAACUCUUUGAACUUUUCAAACGUUUCUGACUUGUGCUUCAUUAAGUAAAUAUACGCAUAUCUACUAUAAUCAUCGAUGAAAGUCAAAUAGAAGCGGUUCGCAUCCUUUGUGGUGGAUCUAAAGGGCCCACACACAUCGGUGUGUAUGAGAUCCAAUAAACCCUCACCCCUCUCAUAAGUGCCAGUGAAGGGUGACUUGGUCAUCUUUCCAAGUAAACAAGACUCGCACAUGUCAUCUUCCCUAAGGUCGAAUGACUCCAACACUCCAUCCUUUUGGAGUUGGGCUAUGCGCUUCUUGUUGACAUGUCCAAGACGACAAUGCCACAAGCAUGCUUUAUCCAUACUAUUGGAAGAAUCCAUACACAACACAUCAUUUCCUAGGUUAUCUACAACCAUAAUAGUUUCAUAAAUUCCAUUACAAGGCAUUGCUUCAAAAUAUAAAACACCAUUUAGAUAAGCAUAAAUCCAACCAUUCUCAUUAUUAAACGAAUAUCUAAAUCGUUGUCUAAACAAAACAUGAAAUGAAAUAAUGUUUCUUGCCAUAUGUGGCGAGUAGCAACAAUUAUUUAAAUCUAAACCUAAUCUAUUACUAAGGACUAGAGAAUACACUCCAAUCUUGGUGACAAGCGACGAUCUUCUAUUCCCCAUGAUUAGAUUUAUUCUUCCAUGCUCCACAUCCCUAUUUCUUCUUAGUCCCUGCAAAUCAGUAUAUAUGUGAUAACCACAUCCUUUAUCAAGAACCCAAUAAAUAGCAUGCGACGAAUCAUUAGAUUUAAUUGUGUAAAUACCUGCGAAACACGGCUUGAUCUUCCCAUUCUUGAUGGCUUGCAGAUAUUCCGGGUAGCUUCUCUUCCAAUGCCCAAAUUUGUGGCAAUAGUGGCACUCUUCCUCCUUUGGGUUUGAGUUGGGCUUAGCAGGACCAACUUUGGUCCCACUAGAACUGGAACCAUCAUGGGACUUUCCAUUGUGGUGGCUCUUUGAAGGAGCCUUCCUCUUCAUGCCCCUUCCUUGCCCAAUAGCCAAAACAGGAGCAACAGGUGGAGUGGGAGUUAAUGCAACAGACUUGUCCUUAAGGUUGCUCUCAGCAGUCCUUAGGAGCCCUUGGAGUUUACUUAGGGUGACCUCUUCCUUGUUUAUGUGGUAGGUCAUCCUAAAUUGGUUAUAGCACGAGGGAAAGGAGUGAAGAACGAUGUCGAUAGCCAAAUAUUCCCCAAAGUUAACAUUUAACUUGCGAAGACGAUCAACAUAUCUUUGCAUCUUUUGGAAGUGCACGGUUAGAGACUCUCCACUUCCCAUCUUAGCGGUGAUCAUUUUCGUGAUGAUCUCAUAGCGCUCUUGCCUUGUGCUUUGGUGGUAUCUCUCCAUCAAGUCUUGAUGCAUUUCGUAAGAAUACAUGUCCUCGUAGGACUUUUGGAGUUUGGGAUUCAUUAUGGCUAGCAUAAUGCAAUGGACUUUCGUUGCAUCACACUCAUGGGUCUCAAAGACGGCCAUUUCUUCAGGAUUAGCGAUUUCUGAAUUGAUCUUUUCAAGCUUCUCGUCGAAGACAUACUCUUUGUCCUCGUAGCAAGCAAUCGUGUGGAUGUAUCUUAUCCAUUCGCUAAAGUUCGAUCCAUCAAAUGUCACCUUUUGACAUAGGCUCAUUAGCGAGAAUGAGGUAGCAGCAGCGUUGUUUGCGUUAGACAUCUACAAAUAGAAAGGAACAAAGUUUGAUUAGAAUUAAAUCCCUAAUAAAACACCCAAAAUGAAAAAUUAGGGCUAGGACCCAACAACAUUAUUUACACAUUAGAAAAGGGAUGCCGUAAUCCAACAUGCAAAUAAUUUGGAGGUAAGUGAAUGACGAUUCACUAAUUCUUCACCAUGAAAAACAUAACGCUCAAGUUUUAAAUGUAUUGAGAAUUCCUAGAUUUCCUUAGAGAUUCAUUGAACUUUUCAAUGACAUGUUUAAAUCUCGAUAUGCCCCUCUCGUUUGUGACUGGGAUGCCGAGGAUCACAAAGUAGGUGUGAAUAACCAUGCAAAUCUACAUGGUGCCCUCAUUGUUACAGUCACCUAUUCGAUGUACCGGUAAACCUCACACGCUCCAUCGAACUAUGACAAACAUUGAGUCACCCUUUNNNNNNNNNNNNNNNNNNNNNNNNNNNNNNNNNNNNNNNNNNNNNNNNNNNNNNNUAUAUAUAUAUAUAUAUAUAUAUAUAUAUUAGUCUUGUAAUAAUAUAAUAGUAUAAGGUGUAUUUUAAACAUUUCAAAAUACUAGGGUUUUAUUCUCAAUUUAAAAUUUUCGAAAUUUAAUACCAUUUAAAUUAAAAUUUUAAAUAUUAAAACUCUUGAUUUAAUAAUUAUCUUAAAUUAAACUAUUAAUUUAAAUUAUUAAAUCAUAAGGGAUUAUUAAAAUCAUGAAGGAUAAUUACCAUUUAAACAAUUAAUUUAUCCUAAUCUUUUUAAUCCGUCUAAAUUUCGAAAAUCAUGGGAUAUGAUAAUUCAAAAUAUUUAAUUACCAUAUAUAACCAUAAAGGAUAAUUACAAGAUAUGAGAUAAUCCAAAUCCCUAAAAUUUAGGAUCUUAUCUUGGGGAGGAGGCUAAUCUCGAAAAUCCUAGGGCUUGCAAACCCAAGAUUUCGAAAUCUUAGCACUUAAGGAAAUGAUUUGAAAAAACCCUUUCAAAUUUUCGCAAAUUAGGGUUUAGAAACCCUAAUCUCGAAAUUCUUGCCUCCUAGGGUUUAUCGACUAUAAACCCUAAUAUGUCAAGUUCAUAUAAUUGUAUAACACUAAUUGAAAACAAGUUAGCCAAUGGCUCUGAUACCACUGAUUGGUUUUGUAAAAAUAAUCCUAUGUGUGCAUGCAACCCUAGAUUUGGAUCUAUGUUUUUACUAUUAGAUACACAAAAUUAUGAACACAUGAAGAAACCCUAGCAUGCCCUAGUAUUUUCGUAAUUCACAUAGAAAGAUAGAUCACAUACCUCUUGUUGUUAUAUUGCAAUAACAACUCAAAUCUUCAAACCCUAAGUCUUGAAAGCAUGUACCACAAGUGUAGUACCUCUAAUGGCUCACAAACACCACAAGCAAUUGGCGAGGCUAUAGAGAGAGAAGGUGAGAGGUAGAAAUCGGCUCUAGGAUCCUUUGGAAGCAAGUGGACAAUUUCUAUGGCCUUAGGGGUCUUUAUAUAGGGUACAGAUUAGAGUUUCAGUCCUUAUCCUUAUCUAGUUGAUUGCCCACCAAGCAAUCAUAAGAUAAGCCUAGAUAACCCUUAUCCUUGGACAAUUUCAAGGAUUCCUUAUCCCUUGAAUUCGUCCAACCUAUAUCUAGGGUAACCAUUGCCCUAUUUUGCAACUAUCACAUAAUUACAAUUCAGCCCCUCUAGU